UGAAGCGGGCACGGCCUUGCCGCCCCAUUUACUCGGUUGGAGCUCCAGACGCUCCGGAGCGUUGUCGUUGUCGUGAACACGGUCAGAGCCAGCGUGGCAAAGUAACUCCCCCCCAUACGAUACGCAAAGAUUCCAACGUUCAACGUGUGUCGAAAAGUCGAAAAGCCGCAAAGCCGCAACGAACUGCAAAAUUCGAGGCAAAUCUGAGGAAAAAUAGAGAAAAUUAAGCCCAGCUAAAAAAACAGCCACCAAAAUCCACCAAAACAAGCCAAAACAACUGAGAGAGUUUCCAAGUUUCGAUUCGAAUAGAACAUUCAACAUUUAUCUGAAAUUAUAGACCAAUCCCGAAACUAGAAAUGAAUUUAGCGUUAAGCGCAAGUUGAUGCCACAGCGUGAUGCCACACAGUGUCUGAGGCGGAGGCGUUUUAUUUUACACAAGUCUUGAUGUUGUUAUUGCUUACAUAGUAUAUUUAUUGUAUGUGUAUCUAAACGGAGAUAAAACCUUAUUGUUAUAAGCUUUAGACUGUACAUAGAAUGAACUUUGCUUCUGUAAAAGAAAAGAACAAAUGCCAUUUCGGUUUUUCGUUGUUAAACAAAUACGGAAAUAUUGGGAAAUAUCCAUCGGAGCGUAUGACCCGAUUAAAUGAAACGAGCCAAAUAUAUAACCCAAAAAUCAUAAGAGUCUCCUUAAACUAUUCGACUUGAUGGAAAAAUGUCGCUGGACGACGAAGAAAAAAAGUAUAUACGCAUAUAUAAAAAUAUAUGGAA